rnacentral:pre_miRNA from 1 species
UAAACUGCGGACAGGUUUUAUGACUACCGCAUGUUUAAGUGCGGCAGAUGGUCAAUUUUUUUUAAUUCUCUCUGAAUUCUCUCUGAAUGUUUAUAAAUUCUUUGUUCUGUCCGCACUUUAAUAUGCGGCAGCACAUAUUUGCCUUUCACAGUUUA